GAUGAACGCUGGCGGCGUGCCUAAUACAUGCAAGUCGAGCGAACGGACGAGAAGCUUGCUUCUCUGAUGUUAGCGGCUGACGGGUGAGUAACACGUGGAUAACCUACCUAUAAUACUUGGAUAACUUCGUGAAACCGGAGCUAAUACCGCCUAAUAUUUUGAACCGCAUGGUUCAAAAGUGCAACACGGUCUUGCUGUCACUUAUAGAUGGAUCCGCGGUGGAUUAGCUAGUUGGUAAGGUAACGGCUUACCAAGGCAACGAUGCGUAGCCGACCUGAGAGGGUGAUCAGCCACACUGGAACUGAGACACGGUCCAGACUCCUACGGGAGGCAGCAGUAGGGAAUCUUCGGCAAUGGGCGAAAGCCUGACGGAGCAACGCCGCGUGAGUGAUGAAGGUCUUCGGAUCGUAAAACUCUGUUAUUAGGGAAGAACAUAUGUGUAAGAAAAUGUGCACGUCUUGACGGUACCUAAUCAGAAAGCCACGGCUAACUACGUG
rnacentral:rRNA from 1 species